rnacentral:rRNA from 1 species
AGAGUUUGAUCCUGGCUCAGGAUGAACGCUAGCGGCAGGCUUAAUACAUGCAAGUCGAACGGGAUUCGGGGUAGCAAUACUUUGAUGAGAGUGGCGCACGGGUGCGUAACGCGUAUGCAACCUACCUUUAACAGGGGAAUAGCCCCGAGAAAUCGGGAUUAAUACUCCGUAACAUUGCGGUGUGGCAUCACACUGCACUUAAAGCUGAGGCGGUUAAAGAUGGGCAUGCGUGACAUUAGCUAGUUGGUGAGGUAACGGCUCACCAAGGCAACGAUGUCUAGGGGUCCUGAGAGGGUUAUCCCCCACACUGGUACUGAGACACGGACCAGACUCCUACGGGAGGCAGCAGUAAGGAAUAUUGGUCAAUGGGCGCAAGCCUGAACCAGCCAUGCCGCGUGCAGGAAGACGGCCCUAUGGGUUGUAAACUGCUUUUGUCAGGGAAUAAACCCCCGCUCGUGAGCGGGGCUGAAGGUACCUGAAGAAUAAGCAUCGGCUAACUCCGUGCCAGCAGCCGCGGUAAUACGGCGGAUGCAAGCGUUAUCCGGAUUCAUUGGGUUUAAAGGGUGCGCAGGCGGAUUGGUAAGUCAGGGGUGAAAUCCCACAGCUCAACUGUGGAACUGCCUUUGAUACUGUCAGUCUAGAGUAUAGUUGAAGUUGGCGGAAUGUGUCAUGUAGCGGUGAAAUGCUUAGAUAUGACACAGAACACCGAUCGCGAAGGCAGCUAGCUAAGCUAUAACUGACGCUCAUGCACGAAAGCGUGGGGAUCAAACAGGAUUAGAUACUCUGGUAGUCCACGCUGUAAACGAUGAUUACUCGAUGUUGGCGAUACACAGUCAGCGUCUGAGCGAAAGCAAUAAGUAAUCCACCUGGGGAGUACGAUCGCAAGAUUGAAACUCAAAGGAAUUGACGGGGGCCCGC